rnacentral:rRNA from 1 species
CCCUAAGGCGAGGCUGAAAGCGUAGUCGAUGGGAAACAGGUUAAUAUUCCUGUACUUGGUGUUACUGCGAAGGGGGGACGGAGAAGGCUAGGCUAGCCGGGCGACGGUUGUCCCGGUUUAAGCGUGUAGGGGGUGUGACCUGGUAAAUCCGGUUGCAUAUCAACCCUGAGGCGUGAUGACGAUGCACUACGGUGCAGAAGUAGUUGAUGCCCUGCUUCCAGGAAAAUCCUCUAAGCUCCAGGUAACAUUAAAUCGUACCCCAAACCGACACAGGUGGUCAGGUAGAGAAUACCAAGCGCUUGAGAGAACUCGGGUGAAGGAACUAGGCAAAAUGGUGCCGUAACUUCGGGAGAAGGCACGCUGGCAUGUAGGUGAAGUCCCUCGCGGAUGGAGCUGAAGCCAGUCGAAGAUACCAGCUGGCUGCAACUGUUUAAUAAAAACACAGCACUGUGCAAACACGAAAGUGGACGUAUACGGUGUGACGCCUGCCCGGUGCUGGAAGGUUAAUUGAUGGGGUCAGCCGCAAGGCGAAGCUCUUGAUCGAAGCCCCAGUAAACGGCGGCCGUAACUAUAACGGUCCUAAGGUAGCGAAAUUCCUUGUCGGGUAAGUUCCGACCUGCACGAAUGGCGUAAUGAUGGCCAGGCUGUCUCCACCCGAGACUCAGUGAAAUUGAACUCGCUGUGAAGAUGCAGUGUACCCGCGGCAAGACGGAAAGACCCCGUGAACCUUUACUAUAGCUUGACACUGAACAUUGAGCCUUGAUGUGUAGGAUAGGUGGGAGGCUUUGAAGCGUGGACGCCAGUCUGCGUGGAGCCAUCCUUGAAAUACCACCCUUUAAUGUUUGAUGUUCUAACUCGGCCCCGUAAUCCGGGGUGAGGACAGUGUCUGGUGGGUAGUUUGACUGGGGCGGUCUCCUCCCAAAGAGUAACGGAGGAGCACGAAGGUUAG